rnacentral:rRNA from 1 species
UACGUAGGGGGCAAGCGUUAUCCGGAAUUACUGGGUGUAAAGGGAGCGUAGACGGUAAUGUAAGUCUGGAGUGAAAGGCGGGGGCCCAACCCCCGGACUGCUCUGGAAACUAUGUUACUAGAGUGCAGGAGAGGUAAGCGGAAUUCCUAGUGUAGCGGUGAAAUGCGUAGAUAUUAGGAGGAACACCAGUGGCGAAGGCGGCCUGCUGGACGACAACUGACGGUGAGGCGCGAAAGCGUGGGGAGCAAACAGG